UAGCUCCGUUAUGAUGGGGGGCUUCCAAGAAGUAGCACUGCCUCCUUUUCACAGCACCUGAAAAGAAAUCCUGUUCUACGCGGCUUAAGCUUUGCUUCCAUUUACGUGAUUGUAAAUGCAGAACAACUGCAAAGGAGUCAGUCCUGUCACUGUAUUUAUACUGGGGUAGGAAGGUGGUCAAAAAAAAGCCCAAGUUUGCCAUUUAAUCUCUAUAAUCUCUAUACACUCUGUAAAUUUCAUUGUCAGGGUGAUAUUCUCUUUCAGGUUGAUUUUAGCCAAUAAUCUGAGGCCAUUUCUGUUGUAAUAAUUCCUGUUCUGUGACUUUAUUGUUGCAUGCUUUGUUUCAUCAUUGAAUAUUUUUGUGGACAGGAUGUCUUUAGGAUAAAUUGUUUUCAUUUAAUAUAAAGUAUUCCCAGAUCUUUACUUUUUCAGCCUAUAUGCAGUCUGUAUUUUGAAUACUUCUUUUCUUUCUUUCUUUUUCUUUAUAUUGCAUCGACUAAUGUCUUAUUAUGGGAAUAAAGUUGUGUAGUUUAGCUUUGUCCCCUUCUGAUUGAACCCCUGCUGUAAUAUCUAGUGGGUUUCAUACAUCUCUUCUCAGCACUAGGCCUACAUCUGCAUAAUAUAUAUUUACCAUUAAAAUGUUAAUAUUAAAUAUUGAUUAAAACACACUGUUGUCUGAAGUGUGUGUGUCCCAGCACAGCAAUUCUCUAGCGCCUGCAUGCAGACCCUCUAUGAGUGUUUCAGUUCCCAGCACCAAUGCAGAACACGCACCUGUCUCCUCUUCCUGGAAAACAAGAGAGGGAAAUGUUGCAUGAAGAGAGGCCAUAUGCAACGACAUGUCAAUCUGCUACCUAUUUUUAAAUAUUCACAUAACCCCCACUUAUUGGAAAGAAAGAUGUCUAUUCUGAGAAAGUGACAGCUGAAUCAGUAACCUCUGCCUCUCGCAAUUACAAGAAGCUGAUGAUCAGCUGGCGGAUGGGACUGUGCAGUUGGAAGGAGACAUAACUUACUGCAGAAGUGAAGAUUUUUCCUUGGAAACCUCUGAAAGAAAUCUCUGCUGCUUCCCAGUUGAGAGCUAUUCUACAACACCAAAAUCAUUCCAGAAGGUUUAGAGUUGUAAUUUGUCAGACCGCAGUUGCUCACCAGAAAAGGAAUGAGUCAAGAAUAGCUGGCUUGUUUAGGCCACCUGAUUGCAAGUGCAAUUUCAGUUACCUCUGAAAAGCCUGCUGAUGUCACUGGGGACUGGAUGAACCAAGAGUGGACCUUGACCCUUAUUGUUUAGAAUGGUGCACAUCCUCUGGAAGUAAGUCUAUGAGGUUUUGGAGAUACUUCAAGCUUCCAUCAUCAGUGUGGAAACUGGUUGCUUGCCUCUGCAAAGCCAAGGCAGCAGCAGAAUCUUGAUCUAGGACACAACAUAAAUGCUUGAAUGCUAUCCUGUUGUGGAAUGAUGGUAAGUUUCUUUACCAUUAAGAAAGGAAACUGAAGAGGAGAGGACGCGUUAAGUCUUCAAAUGUAUAAAAAGCCUCUGUGAAGAGGGAAGUGUGCUGUGGCUGUAAGCACCGCGCAGUCCAGCCCGCCGCGUUUGGGGCGAGUCAGCUCUGCCAGCUUUAAUCACUCACGUUAGCCUCGUGAAGAGAAAGGAGCAGAAAAUACCACUCAGCAAGGCGGUGAGGCCAUGAAAUUGUGUUAAGCCACACUCCCGAAAACGGCUGGAUUUGCUAUUUUAGUACAAACUUCAUCCAUACACUCCCAUGAGCAUGAAGACACUACAAGCAUGUAAGAAAACACUGGGGCUCUAAGGCCAUAAUCCUGGAAAUUCCUACAUAGAGGUCCUGUAUACAGGAUUACUUUGUUUCCCUGUACCCUGUGUAUGUUGUGACACAAAGCUCAGUUGGGUGGUCCCAUGAUGGUGUGUGCUGUGGUAUCUCUGACUUGGGAACCUUGGGGCCUGUAGGAGCUACAGGAGCUCAAUGAGGUCCACUGGCAUGUGCUCUGCUCCUGGGUUGGACAGCAUCUGAUUUGCCUGUUGCAUUGCCUGCAAGUCCUUCAUGUCUCAGUCCUGUCUGUCUUGGAAGAUGCAGAGAGAACUUGCAGCCUCCAGACGCCGAGGAGAACCACACCAGAGCUGGAAAUUAAAAUGUCCACAGUGAAAACCAUCCACCUACGUAAUUUUUUUAAGGAAACUUAACUGGACUAAAAAAUGUACAUAAGAUAACUUGAAGACACAUGGAAAACAAAAUGCAGCCUCCUCCUGACCUGGAAACAGAGAAGAUUUCCAUCACUGGUAUGACCAGGCCUUUUUGUAGCUAAUUUCUCAUGAAACAGUUAGAUAUGGUCUAGUCACAGGAUACAAAUACACAAAUGUUACUUUUUGGAAUGCAUUCUUCUACCCUGGAUGGCUUGUACCAUGUUAUUUAACAUUAUUUCUGUUACAUUGUGAGCCUGUACUGUACUAAGCUGUAAGCAUUACUCAACUGUUGUCAAAUAGAAACAGUUUUGGGUGCUAACUUUAAAUGCCCAAGGAAAAUGAGUGAAGUAUAUAUACCUAAAAUACAUGAAUAAUUCCUAACAAUAAAUGAUUUUGUGUGUGUGUGUGCAUGUGAAGAAGAUACAAAAAGACCAUACCUUGCUCUGAAAUGACAUAAUAAUUGGGGUUACUGACGGAUUACUGUGUAUGUUCUGACAUGACAUUAGAUUAAAAUUAUUGAAUAUUACUUGAAAGCAGGGUAAUGCCUUGUCAAAGGCCUCAGACUACCCUUCUUGCACUGCACUGCCCUCUGUUUAGCUGCAGAAUAGGUACAGGUUUGACCAUUUUAGCAUCUUCCUGCACUGGGGUUGUACCUAUUUAAAUGUGCUUUGGUUAUUGAUAACUUUAUGGAGGCAGAUGUGUUUCUGGAUUAGCUAGGGAGAGCAGUGUGUCUCUAUAAAGUAAUUACAGGAUUGCUGCUCAGCCAAUUGGAUUCUGGGGCAAUUCAAACAGGAAUUGUAUACACAUGUAAAGAAGGCUAUUAUGGGGCUGGAUUGCAUUAAAGGGAAAAGCCAAAAGCAGUGGAUAAAACUGAGCAAAGGAACAUGAAGGAAUAGUGAGAAAAAUAAAUAUAUAUGCCAAUAAAUUGCAAAAACUGGUU